rnacentral:rRNA from 1 species
GCAUAUCAAUAAGCGGAGGAAAAGAAAAUAACAAUGAUUCCCCUAGUAACUGCGAGUGAAGAGGGACAAGCUCAAAUUUUAAAUCUAUCGGGUUUUACCUGAUCGAGUUGUAAUUUGAAGAAGCGUUUUCUGCGUAUUUGAUCAGCCUAAGUCCUAUUGAAUGAGGCAUCAUGGAGGGUGAUAAUCCCGUCCGGCUGAUCAUUUGCGUUUUACGAUACGCUUUCUAAGAGUCAAGUUGUUUGGGAUUGCAGCUUAAAAUGGGAGGUAAAUUUCUCCUAAGGCUAAAUAACGGCGAGAGACCGAUAGCGAACAAGUACCGUGAGGGAAAGAUGAAAAGAACUUUGAAAAGAGAGUUAAACAGUACGUGAAAUUGUUGAAAGGGAAACGAUUGAAGCCAGUCGUACCUUCGGGUAAUCAGCCUUUCGGGUGCGAUUCUGUGGAGUGUGAGGAGUUAAACACCUUCAUGUUUUGCAUAUUCGUACUCUUGGGUGUACUUGCCCGUGUGGUAGGUUAACAUCAAUUUUGGUGGUCAUAAAAUGACUGGAGGAAUGUAGCUUCGAUCUCGUAUUGAAGUGUUAUAGCCUUCGGUAGAUGUGAUGAUCGAGAUUGAGGAUUGCAACGGAUACCCUUCGGGGCUACCUGUCUGAUCUCUGAUCGUUGCUCUGGUGUCGAAAGCUUGCUUACGGUUAUCAAAGUCGAUGGUCAAUAGGUUAGAACGGGUUAAAUUCGUUAAGGAUGUUGACGUAAUGGCUUUAAACGAC